GCUAUCUUGACGGCAAAUAUCUGUCCUCUGGUUAUCUGUGGGAAAAUAAUAAGCAAAUGGUGGUCCUCUGUCACUUGGAUCAGAGUCAUCUGCGUGUUCAUUAUAAUGUAGGUAUCCGACACCAAACAACCAACUAUGGAGUUUGAAUCUACGGCUGAUAAGUCCACCGAUCAAGACUUUAAAUGAGUUCCUAAAUGAUUCUUAAAUACAUUGGCAUUUAAGAGCCACUUCUCCAACAGCUUCAAAGGAUAUGCAGAUACUAUGUUGGUGCUGUGGAGACAAAGAUGAUUAAGACAGUUAAGACAUUGCCCUGAAUCUCAAGAGAGCCCUAUUUCUACCUGUCAAG